GUACACUCCUACGGGAGGCAGCAGUGGGGAAUUUUGGACAAUGGGCGAAAGCCUGAUCCAGCAAUGCCGCGUGAGUGAAGAAGGCCUUCGGGUUGUAAAGCUCUUUUGUCAGGGAAGAAACGGUGAGAGCUAAUAUCUCUUGCUAAUGACGGUACCUGAAGAAUAAGCACCGGCUAACUACGUGCCAGCAGCCGCGGUAAUACGUAGGGUGCAAGCGUUAAUCGGAAUUACUGGGCGUAAAGCGUGCGCAGGCGGUUUUGUAAGUCUGAUGUGAAAUCCCCGGGCUCAACCUGGGAAUUGCAUUGGAGACUGCAAGGCUAGAAUCUGGCAGAGGGGGGUAGAAUUCCACGUGUAGCAGUGAAAUGCGUAGAUAUGUGGAGGAACACCGAUGGCGAAGGCAGCCCCCUGGGUCAAGAUUGACGCUCAUGCACGAAAGCGUGGGGAGCAAACAGGAUUAGAAACCCCGGUAGUCCC
rnacentral:rRNA from 1 species